ensembl:lncRNA
UGAGGUUACUUUGGGCGAAAUCUAUUUCCUUUUUGUUUUUGUUGUUGGAUAACAAGAAAUGUCUAGAUUAAUACUCAUCAGUCUUACAAACAUAAUGAAAAUUAGUUGACUUUUAGUUGACUUUUUUGUCCCAACUUUUUUUUAACCUUCUUGCCACUCAUUAUAUGUUUGCAGUUCUAGGUCUUUGACAGCUGAAGACCGCAGGAAUCAAACAGGCGAGCCACACAGAAUACUGACCCUUCUUUAUGCUUUUAUAGUGUUUAUACCAUAUGGCCCAGUGUGAAAUUCUUGAUUAUCCAAGUGCCUUUGGUCAUUUGUGGCAGGAAAACUUAAUAGUUUUUUAGCCAGCAGUGCCACAGCCAGCUUUUACUGCAAUACCCAAAGGGUCAAGGAGUGUUUUUGUACCACUAUUAUUUCAAAUUUAAGUAUUCUGCCAUGAAACGAUCCAUACUGGGCUGGAACUUGACAUGUGAAAUGUUUAAUACUAAAACUUAUCUCUGCUUGGCAGCUUCUUAGGAAAAUAAUGAGAGUUGCAAUUUUGACUCUUGUGUUCCUAGAAUUCAAAUGGCAUAGCUUUCUGAAAUGAGUAUUUCAAGUUUAGUAGUCCAUAUAGGAGUGUUGUGACUUUAAUUUCAGUGUUCUUGUUUUCUUAAAAAAUUAUAUAUAUAUAUACACACACAUAUAUAACUUGAUGCCAGUUUUCUAGUAAGCCUCAGUCUUUUAUUCACUACUCAAUGAUAAUGCAUUGUACAAACACUGUCACAUGAGUAAAUAAAAAUGAAUAAUUCCUUAGAAGAUGGAGAGUGUUAAAUUAUAUUUGUGAUAGGAAGCUUAGACUAUUCUUUUGGUUAUUAGCUUCCAUUGCCAAUUGUAUUUCAGAUGCAUAGGGUUUUCUUCCUAAAAAUACAUUGUUAACUUUUAUAGCUAACUAGCACCUGGGAAAAAUGUAUUUGUACAACUUCACUAUUGUAUAUAGUUUUAUAAUAAUUAAAAAUAAACCCAAUGGCCAUAUUAGAAUGCAAUUUCGACAUAUAGCUUAUCUAGAUAGUUUUCCAGAGGAUUUUGAAAUUUGGCUUAACUGGGAGGAUAACUGCUCAGCACACAAGUGAAACAUAACCAAUGACACCAUUCAUUUAUUUUAACGGAGAUUCUUGACAUUUUUCUCUCCUAUGCCUUGUUACUUUAGCAUACUUGAACUCACAUAAAUGCUUCUUUGGAUUACUUGGGCUAUCUGAUUCCAUUUUGGAUCUGAUUAUCCAUCUUGAAUUCAAUAAUGGUAUUCAUUUGGGCUAUUAAAAAAUUAUGCCAUUUCUAGUCUGUGAAAUAAGAUGUAAAAAAUCUUUAUUUUUGCCCUUUCCUUUGGUUAAAACCUAUGUUACAACUUUUAAAAUGUGAAGCAACAUCUAAUGUAGUUGACUGGUAUACUAAUAGGAAAGUGAAAGUAUUUCAUGGGUACUUUGUCGCAGAAUGUGAAAAGAAACUUGGCAUAGUGGCCUUUAUGAUGAGGCAUCCACUUACUGUCCUCUAAAGUGAAGUCUGUAGCUUAGCUUGUGUAUAGUUUUUGAAAGAAAUCUCAUGAUCUUCGUUCAUUCUCUUGCCUUCUCUUUUAUCUUAUAUGGCACAAGUAGAGGGGGAAGCCAGGAGGAAAUUCAUCACCUUGCUAUGCUUUUAUUUGAUUUUUAAUUCCCGAGUGCCUAAAUGUGGUGACUGGCACCUCACAUAACUUUUUGAGAUUCCUGAUGUCAUUUUUAUCCUUCCUGUCAACCAGCAAUGUAUUUUUAUGUUACUAAAACCAGUAAUGUCGUAAUUGUUGAGGGCAAGCUUCAUUGUUGAUAGUGCAAAGUGUCGUUGUUGUGAUGUGUAUUUAUUUUAUUCAAGUUUGAAUAUUGACAAGUGUAACUUAAGCUGGUGACUGACACCUAUUGAUCUGCUGUGUGCAAAUGAUAGUACUAUUUUUUAGAAAACUCUUCAGUAAAUUUUAAAAAUAUUUGAAUACAAAAUAUCUGAGCAAUUUUGAACUCAAAAGUUUUUCAUUGUUUUAAGGAUUGCGACAGGACUCUAAUGGUUUUUAAUGGACGCAUAUGCCUAAUAUUUACUUUAUUGGUGUGUUUAAAAUAUUUUUUGAUAGACUAUUAUGUCUUAAGUGCUUUAGAAAACAAUUGUUUGUAAUGGACUCAAAGUGUUUCCCUGGACAGUUUGAUGUACUUAUGGUUGAGAUUUAUAAUCUGCUUGUACUUUGCUUUUUAACUUAUUAAUUGUAAAUAAAUUUUAGAGAA